CAAUUUCAUUUGUGUGUGAAAUGUACUUGUUUUUAAAAAAAUCCAUAUGCUGGCAUUGUCCAGAAAAAUUUAACAGGUUUAUUUAUAAUUGUUAUAAAUUUG